rnacentral:lncRNA from 1 species
CAAGAGUUUCCAGUCCUGACCAAGUGAAUGCUGGACAUGACGUCUGGGCCGCGUCGAAUGCGCAAGAAAUUGACGCUCAGUACACGUAACGGCUGGAAAUUGAGAGCUCCCAGCUUAGUUUCAAUCAUUCACAAUUCUUCUCUAUUGGCCGUGCUCCUAUAUCUUUCCCUAUCUGCGUCCCGUCAACGUCGUCGUGUUUUGCUGGACCACCAGCAACGUUAAAUUCAGUAAUUGGUUUGCGUUGAAUACUCGUGGACGUUUUACUCUCUGACUGUUCCUGAAGAACAGCAUGAGAACAGCAUCAAUUCCAACCCAAAACAUUGUGUCGUCCUGUUCGCCGAAUGUAAUUCACUAGCAAUUACCGGUCGUGAUAAUAUUUCUUGUUUUUUUUUUCUUCCCCAUUCUAACAUUCUAGAAACCAGUCCUCCCUUUCCUUCCUUUGAACUUUCAGUGAACAGAAUUUUAAAAAAUUUCAUCAAUUUCUAUUUUAAAUUUUUUUUUGUCGUUUUAAAUUCAGUUGAGCGCGUGGCUGGGACCGACGGCAACGACGACAUUUCGGGGUGAGAAAGGAUCAUUACUUCCAUGGGCGACACUGAAUGAAUUUGUCCCUCACACUGCACGAUGGUGUUUAAACCUCUCUCGCUCCCAUGCCGAAAUUGAUCUGCGAGAGUCAGCACCAAUGCCAAAGACUUGCUUGAAUGAAAUGGGACAGAGUUCUCUAUUCAUUCGAUUUUUCGUUCCACCUGAAGUCCUGAACGUGUUUCAAAAAGGAGCUGGAUCUCAUUCAAGUGGUCCAACAGUUCCAGUGGAAACGGAACUCACAGACCCAAGUGUUGGCCAUAAACUUCGUGCAAGAAUCGUCACUUGACGUUUUCGACAUACGGGUUACCGACAGACCAACGCAUUUAUUGUCCGGGAUUCGUCGCAGGGGUUGCCUAUCCGUCGGAAAUUCCGGGAAAUUCAUUGGAAAUCC